UGAAAGAUGUUGUUGAGCUUGUAAUGGCUCCUGUCCAUACAGAUGAGACACUGGGAUAUGUGGACAGCAAGAUCAGUGAACAUCGUUUCAGAUAUUCAGAUGUAUUUCCACAGGAGAAGUUGAAACCGAAACAUCACUUCCUUGAACAUUAUCCGUGGCUUCUAACUGCUUUUGGACCUCUUGUGGCUCUGUGGACCAUGCGUUUUGAAGCAAAACAUAGAUUCUUUAAAAGGAUUGUAAGGCAGUCAGGGUCAUUCAAAAACAUUCUCAUGACAAUGGCAAGAAAACACCAAUCAAUGAUUGCUUAUCACAUCCAUGAAACUAAUAUCUUAAGACCAACGUUCUCUGUGUCCAGAACAACUCAGGUGGCAGUAGAGAUUCUAAAAGACAACAUCAAGGAAUCAUUUUUGAAGAAGUUCCCCAGGGCAGAGGUUGUGAGUGUCACAAACAAAAUCAACAUUUUAGGCACUGACUACUGUGCUGGAAUGUUGUUGCCUUUUGGAUCAACAGGAGGAUUGCCUGACUUUGGAGAAAUACUCCAAAUAAUCAUUGUGCAUGAAAGCCCUAUCUUUGUUCUCAAGCAGCUGAGUGGCUGGUAUCACGAGCACGUGAGGAGCUUUAAAGUGGAGCCCACGGGAGAGAUUGGAAUCUGUCAGCAUUCAGAAAUAAAAGAUGCAUACCCCUUGGCUGCAUAUAAUACAAGAGAUGGUCGAAUGGUGUCCCUGAAGCAUUUUAUUUGCAUUUCAGACUGUUGACAUCUUCUACUCAACAUGGCAUUCCAGUUACGAGUCAUCAUUGAGGAACAUGGCAUACGGAAGUUGAUUCUUCCAUUAGGAGUCCCUGAUACUGUGGAAGAUCUUCUUUCAAUGAUUCUUGCAACAUUCCACUUGCAUGGGGAAUUUGGACUUCUUUAUGAAGAUAAAGAUUUUGGAAACCAAUUUUUCAGUGUCACAUCAACUGCUGACCUGGAUGAUAAGGCCACUGUGAAGAUGGUAAAGAAAGAACCUGUGGUCACCCUUGACUUGCGUCCACUAGAUGAAUCACAACUGUCCUCUACACUGAUUUCAGUGGGCACUUUGGCUGCAGAUGAAAGUGAAGUGUACACCACUCAAGUAGAUGAGAAUGAUGAAGUGUUUACCUCUCCUACAGAAGAUGGGGCAUCAUCAAGUUCACAAGACACCAUUAUUCUCCCUGCAUCGUGCAGGUCUGCUCCAUGGCCUGCGCAGUUUCGUAUCCCCAAAUUUUCACGUGACAUUGAAAUGAUCCUUGCAGAAGCAAAUAAAACAUAUCAUACAUCUGGAACCCACUUCAGUGAUGCGAGUGUUAAAUCAGCAAUAAUGCUAGACCUUGCCAAAGCCAUAUUCUCCUACACGGUAUACCCAUCAAAUAUGCAAAUAAUUUCAGUGGUUGAAGCCCUUGUUGAAAAGUUUCCCUGUCUUAAGGAGCCAGGAUCUUUUUCAGGAAUGUAUGGUUGGCAGCAACGACUCAAGUAUAAAAUGCACAAUUACCGUACCAUGCUGAAAUCACGAAAAUUUGCUUAUCCAGAGUUGGAAGUAAAUACAUUGAGGAGGAAGAAGCCAGUUGAUUCAGCCCCAGCAAAAAUGUGAAAAGACCAAAAAAAGCAGAGGUCAAUUACCUCCCUCCACAUCCUGCUGGAGAAAAUGAGGAGACACUGGAGAGAGAGAGGCUCGAGUUAAUUGAAGAAACAAAGAAGAAGAACAAUGCCAAGAUAAUAGCAGAAAAAAUGUCCAAAACAUUUUCAGUACGGAGACUGGAACUAGUUACCAGAAGUCCAGCUGUCCAUGUGUUCAGAGAACGGUGGCCAGGAUUGUUAACUGAGGCUCAAAUCAAAGAGGAGUUUCGGCAUUUAACAACUGUUUCCCUAGAAGAGACAUUCUUACAGAAGCUUGAUGGGUACACCCCGCACCUUCUGCAACUGAUGCGUGCCAAAGGAGGAGCUGUUGGUAUCCGAAUGCAGCCUUUCCUGAACACUUGUGAGUCCCAGAGUGUCCAAAAAAGGAGAGAUUCAGUCAUUUGCUGCCUCAUUGAGUACCUUGGGGAAAACAAAGAAGAGCUCUUCCAAGAUUGCCAGGAUGAACCCUAGAACUUCAGUCACGCUCUGAAGGUGCUUGUGAUCCAUAAACCCACUGCUGAAGAGGACCCAGUAGAUGUGUCCAUUGUGAUAGAGGGCAAGCAAGUGAUCACUCGGUGUGGAACCAGAGCCAAGGCAUGUGUACUCUUGAUGGGACUAAUCUAUGCCCUCAACCUUGAGUAUCCCAAAAAGCUCAAGUGCACAUUUGAAGUGUUCCAGAAAAUCUUUUUGGGGAUUGAUACCGCUAAAUUGCACAACAAGGUACACAGCCUCAAAAGUAAGCUGAUGGAGUGAAAUAUUUGCACAGCAAACUAUUUCUACACUGCAGAGACUUCUGGUUUUGGUUGAUAUUUGUUUUGGCCCUUGCCAAUGUUCUGUUGUUACCCUAAAACAGUUGAAAGACUAAAGACAAUGUACUCCUUAACAACAGAACCCUCUA